UAACCUACCUCAUAGUGGGGGGUAACAGUCGGAAACGACUGCUAAUACCGCAUAGGACAUGGAAUCACAUGAUUCAGUGAGGAAAGGUGGCGCAAGCUAUCGCUAAGAGAUGGACCCGCGGUGCAUUAGCUAGUUGGUAGGGUAACGGCCUACCAAGGCGAUGAUGCAUAGCCGACCUGAGAGGGUGAUCGGCCACAUUGGGACUGAGACACGGCCCAA
rnacentral:rRNA from 1 species